AUUUUAGAUCGAAUUCUAGUUUCGACAAGGGUAAUCUCUUGGUUUGACUGUGAUGUGACAAUGUUGUAGUUGUUAUACGUAUAUCAUGUAAGGGCGUCAUCAUCAUGCAUGAUAUACAUAUAUUAGGAGUCUAUAUAUAGGUUGUAUUCUAGUUUGUUAGAGUAGAUAAGAGGUUAAGUUGUUAUUCUCUUGUAAUAUGUUAACCUUAUUUGAGAAAGUGAAUAGAAAAACUAUUAUAACCAA
rnacentral:lncRNA from 1 species